rnacentral:piRNA from 1 species
UGCUGUGAAUGUAUACAGUGUGCCUGGGC